rnacentral:rRNA from 1 species
UGGGGAAUAUUGCACAAUGGGCGAAAGCCUGAUGCAGCGACGCCGCGUGAGGGAUGACGGCCUUCGGGUUGUAAACCUCUUUCAGUAGGGACGAAGCGCAAGUGACGGUACCUGCAGAAGAAGCACCGGCUAACUACGUGCCAGCAGCCGCGGUAAUACGUAGGGUGCGAGCGUUGUCCGGAAUUACUGGGCGUAAAGAGCUCGUAGGCGGUUUGUCACGUCGUCUGUGAAAUCCUAGGGCUUAACCCUGGACGUGCAGGCGAUACGGGCUGACUUGAGUACUACAGGAGAGACUGGAAUUUCUGGUGUAGCGGAGGAAUGCACAGAUAUCAGGAAGAACACCGAUGGCGAAGGCAGGUCUCUGGGUAGUAACUGACGCUGAGGAGCGAAAGCAUGGGUAGCGAACAGG